rnacentral:lncRNA from 1 species
CAGUUAGAGCUUCCUCAUUUGCUAUUUCUGCAGUCACGAGCAGAUUGCUUUCUCAAAAUGGUCUUCUUGCCAAAUCGGGAUGACUUGCCCAAUCAGACCAUUAUCUGUAACUCCUUUAAGUCGGUCGUGGCUGACCCAUGCCUACCUCGAUAAUGCCCGAGGACCUGGUUGACCGAGGUCGAAGUGAUGUUUCACAAUAGUUGCUCCCCACUCUUGAGGCCGGAAGAUCGAUUGAAGAGAGUAGAAAUUCAAAGUCGAGGCUGAUCUCGUAAAAUAUUCUACUUUUGCAGUCGAGCUCAAGCAUCAGUAGGGGUCUAGACAUGUGUCAUGAAUUGAUGUCGCUGAUCUCUCCGAUCCAUUGAUCUAGACUAUUGAAGUUGUGGGUCCGCAUGAGGUCGACUCUAGCCAACCUCGGGCUACUACUUGGU